rnacentral:rRNA from 1 species
CCCGCUGAACUUAAGCAUAUCAAUAAGCGGAGGAAAAGAAACUAACAAGGAUUCCCCUAGUAACUGCGAGUGAAGCGGGAAAAGCUCAAAUUUAAAAUCUGGUGGUCUUUGGCCAUCCGAGUUGUAAUUUAGAGAAGCGUCUUCCGCGCUGGACCGUGCACAAGUCUCCUGGAACGGAGCGUCGUAGAGGGUGAGAAUCCCGUCUUUGGCAUGGACACACCAGGGCUUUUGCGAUGCGCUCUCGAAGAGUCGAGUUGUUUGGGAAUGCAGCUCAAAAUGGGUGGUGAACUCCAUCUAAAGCUAAAUAUUGGCGAGAGACCGAUAGCGAACAAGUACCGUGAGGGAAAGAUGAAAAGAACUUUGGAAAGAGAGUUAAACAGUACGUGAAAUUGCUGAAAGGGAAACGCUUGAAGUCAGUCGCGUUAGUCGGGGAUCAGCCUUCCUUUUGGUUGGUGUACUUCCUGAUUGACGGGUCAGCAUCAGUUUUGACCGGUGGAUAAGAGCUUGAGGAAUGUGGCAUCUUCGGGUGUGUUAUAGCCUCUUGUUGUAUACAUCGGUUGGGACUGAGGAACUCAGCACGCCGCAAGGCCGGGUUUUUAACCACGUACGUGCUUAGGAUGCUGGCAUAAUGGCUUUAAUCGACCCGUCUUGAAACACGG